AACGAACGCGGGCGGCAUGCCUAAUACAUGCAAGUCGAACGAUCUCUUCGGAGAUAGUGGCGCACGGGUGCGUAACGCGUGGGAAUCUACCCUUGGGUUCGGAACAACUUCGGGAAACUGAAGCUAAUACCGGAUGAUGACGUAAGUCCAAAGAUUUAUCGCCCAGGGAUGAGCCCGCGUAGGAUUAGCUAGUUGGUGAGGUAAAGGCUCACCAAGGCGACGAUCCUUAGCUGGUCUGAGAGGAUGAUCAGCCACACUGGGACUGAGACACGGCCCAGACUCCUACGGGAGGCAGCAGUAGGGAAUAUUGGACAAUGGGGGCAACCCUGAUCCAGCAAUGCCGCGUGAGUGAUGAAGGCCUUAGGGUUGUAAAGCUCUUUUACCCGGGAUGAUAAUGACAGUACCGGGAGAAUAAGCCCCGGCUAACUCCGUGCCAGCAGCCGCAGUAAUAC
rnacentral:rRNA from 1 species